CCUACGGGAGGCAGCAGUGGGGAAUCUUGCGCAAUGGGCGAAAGCCUGACGCAGCAACGCCGCGUGCGGGAAGAAGGCCUUCGGGUUGUAAACCGCUUUCAGCAGGAACGAAAAUGACGGUACCUGCAGAAGAAGGAGCGGCCAACUACGUGCCAGCAGCCGCGGUGACACGUAGGCUCCAAGCGUUGUCCGGAUUUAUUGGGCGUAAAGAGCUCGUAGGCGGUUCAGUAAGUCGGGUGUGAAAACUCUGGGCUCAACCCAGAGCCUGCAUUCGAAACUGCUGUGACUAGAGUUUGGUAGGGGAGCGGGGAAUUCCUAGUGUAGCGGUGAAAUGCGCAGAUAUUAGGAGGAACACCGGUGGCGAAAGCGCCGCUCUGGGCCAAUACUGACGCUGAGGAGCGAAAGCGUGGGUAGCAAACAGGAUUAGAUACCCUGGUAGUCCACGCCGUAAACGAUGGGCACUAGGUGUGGGUUUCAACUAACGAAAUCCGUGCCGUCGCUAACGCAUUAAGUGCCCCGCCUGGGGAGUACGGUCGCAAGACUAAAACUCAAAGAGAAGUGGACGUGNGAGUAGCGACGACGACGACGACGGAGGGAGGAG
rnacentral:rRNA from 1 species